CCAACCAAAAUAAUCUCGAUAAAUCAUCUCUUCUUAGUUGAAAAAUGACGAAUCCAUCUCAUUAAAUUCCGCUUAUACAAACAACUAAGAACUUCUCAUCAUUUUGGCUUUGGAGUUGGAGGUGUAGAAGAAAAGGGAUCAUUAUCAAACCAUGGCUGCCCAUUUGCAUCUGCAAUAUCCUCUGCAGUAUUAUUCGGAUCUGAUAUAAACUCCCUUGUUGCAUUUUCAUAGCCCUCCGGCUCUCGAGCAGUAUCAUAACCCUCUGCUGCCUCAUUUUCAAUAUUCAAAAUGCCCAACCUUUCAAAAACCCCUCCUCCACAAGAUCUUGGAGACCAUUGAUGGGAUUCAGUUUGCUGUUUGUCGAGUUUUGGUUGUUCUUUCUGCUUGAUUGUGUCAUCACUGGCAUUGUCCUCUGAGGAGGUAUCAACCCUUCUUUUCUUUCCACUUUCUUCAUCUUCAUGG
rnacentral:lncRNA from 1 species